GGAGAGGAGGAGCUACUGUAGAUAACACCUGAUCACAGAUACUGAUUCGUAGAACAUGUUAAGAACUCGUCAGCGAAGUUGAAGUUGACAAGCAGGACCUAUGAGGAGGUCACCAAGAAGAUGGAGCCAGGCUCCUUGCUGGAGUCCGUGGUGCUGGACACAACAAGCAUCAGCUGAAACACAAGAGGUUCUGACUAGAUAUAAAGACAAACUUUUUCACAGUGAAAACACCAAACAGUGGAGCAGGUUGCCCGAGGAGGUUGUGCAAACUCCAUUCUUGGAGAUUUUCAAGCCCUGACUAGAAAACAUCUUGAGCAACCUGGUCUGACCUCAGAGCUGACCCUGCUUUGAGGAGGAGGUUGGAGAAGAGACCUCCCAUGGUCCAUUCUAACCUGAAUUGCAUUAUGAUCCUAAGACCGAAGAGACCCAACUGAGUUAGCCAUGCUCCAGUUCUACUGUCUUAUUUCUGAGAUGAGAAUACCAGAACUGCAUGGGGAAUUGAAGAUGCCGGUGCAAGAGGCCAUACAAUGGCAUGUUUAUUCUUUCUCUUUUGGUCUCUAUUUCUCUCCUAAUAAAUUUUAAUGAUAAUCCUAA
rnacentral:lncRNA from 1 species